rnacentral:rRNA from 1 species
UACGUAGGGGGCGAGCGUUGUCCGGAGUUACUGGGCGUAAAGCGCAUGCAGGCGGUCCUGUAAGUUUGGAGUGACAGUUUCCGGCUCAACCGGGAAAGUGCUUUGAAAACUGCGGGACUUGAGGGCUUCAGAGGGACACGGAAUUCCGGGUGGAGUGGUGAAAUGCGUAGAUAUCCGGAGGAACACCGAAGGCGAAGGCAGUGUCCUGGGGAGCACCUGACGCUCAGAUGCGAAAGCCAGGGGAGCAAACGGG